rnacentral:rRNA from 1 species
GGGUCAGUAGGUUGGUCGUACCACCGGUACGUACUGGUCUCACUGAUUCCUCCUUCCUGAAGAACCGUAAUGCCAUUAAUUUGGUGUUGCGGGGAAACAGGACUGUUACUUUGAAAAAUUAGAGUGUUUAAAGCAAGCUAACGCUUGAAUACAUUAGCAUGGAAUAAUGAAAUAGGACGAUCGAUCCUAUUUUGUUGGUUUCUAGGAUUGACGUA